CGCUAAGAAGCUAAAUCGGUACAGAGCGUUAGCCUUUUAAGCUAAAGAUUGGUGACUACCUACCACCCUCAGCGA
rnacentral:tRNA from 2 species